CAGAACACUGCAAUAAGAGUUGUUAGGACUCGGGGAACAAGGAAGGAACUGACUUUAUGUUGGUCGGGGGUGGAUUGAGGAAAAGGACUUUCUGAAUUGAAGUAGAAUUCUACGGAAAGUAUAAAUAGGAAAAAUAUUUCCUUCACAAUAGCAACACAACUCAUGAAAUACACAGAAAUAAGAGAGUAAAUGAGUGUAUGAAUUAUAUGAAGAAAACUAUGGAACUCUACCAAGGAGUCUUAAUGCCUGGUGAGAUGUCCAUUUUCAUGGGGUGAUUCAACACCAGGAAGAAGCCUUUUCUCCCCACAUCAAUCUACAGAGUCAGAGAAACUCUAGUAGGAUUCUAAUAGGAUAUUUAUUGAAUUGUGACAAAGAAUUUCAAAAGUUCAUUGGGUAUGAAAUAAAAAUGAGAUAAUCUCAGAAAAUUUUAAAGAAGAAUAAUUGUUAGGAGGGUCAGCCUGACUAGCCACUCCAAUAAGAAGUAAGAGUAACUUAAACAGAAUGGUACUGAUGUGAGCAUGGGCAAGACCAGGAGAAGAGCACGGUCGUGACGCAACCCCAAGCACACACUGGAAAUGGAACAGGACAGAGACGGCAUCACUCGGCAGAAGAGGAAUGAAGCUGUUGGUAUAGAAAAAGCAGUGAGCAAGACUUUUCUGAACAAGUCAAGAAAUCUAGAAUCCUGUGGGUAAAACAAUGCGGAAAUAACCCAACCGGAAGCCCCAUGACAAGGGAGCCCAAGGGGAGCGUCUGAGAGGUCAGACCCUGGUAGACCGGGGCAGAGGAUGGGUCAGGUGAUGGGGAGGGGGCACGAGAAUGGCCAGCCCACUGGACAGGCUUGUAUUUCAGGGGCAGUGGGGUUGGGCUGAGGACCUGCUCACACCUUCAUAUCGCCAUGUGCAAUACUCACCUUCCGUCGUGUAGGAAACUUGGGAGCGCAUCUUCCUCACCUGAAAGAUGGAGGCAGCUAUUCCUGCUUUGUUCAUCGUGCUGGUCUUUUCAGUAUUGUUUGAGUUAAUGGAUGUGAAAACUCUAUACACACUGUAAAGGACUGUGGCUCCCAUUGUCCUCAUGGAGGGACCAUCUUCACCUGGAUUCAAGUCAGUCAGAGACAGAGAUUAAUAAAUUGCACCACCCACUGAUUUUACAUUUCAACUUUCUUACAUGUGUCUUAACGAGUUGAUUUAACUUUGAAAAUUUAAACUUAUUUGCUACAAGUAAAUAUAUACACGUGUAUUACACACACCAGGGAAGGAAGAGCUUUUUCAAUCAUGUCUGGCCCGUUUCCUGGGAGCGAUCUUGGUUUCCCUACGUAGGCUGACUCUGCAUCCUUAACCACCACUUCUCCAGCCCCAGGGAAGCCGCACUGAAAUCAGCCCAGCACACGUGGAAUGAUUUCUGUGCUUGGCCCCGAGAUGAUGCGGUGUGGGAGGGCAGAGUUAGGAAACAUCUCUGUCAUAAAUAAGUGUGUGGUCUGUGUGCAGACACCAAACCUACUGUGAAAUAUUAAGCAAGGCAUGUCUCUUUCUACACUUUCUUGUACGUGUUGCCCUCUUCCAACCCAACCAGCUAGGACACUGGCUUACUGCCCCAAAGUGUAACAGGUACAGAAAUAAAUCAAAUAGAAAGCAGACAAAUCAAGGCCCAGCUCAGCUUUGGAGCCUCCUGGUAUCACUGCCUGUGUGGUCAGCUGCCACAUGGUACCAGGGAUUUGUCUGUGUGACCAACAGUGUACAGCAGAAGUGACGGGCGUCCUGGCCGAGAUUAGCUUAUUCAAGAUGUCGAUCUCAGUUGCUUUCUGGCUCUCCCAUCACUCGUUCUGGAGAGGCCGCUGCCAUGACACCAGAGCAGGCUUAUGAAGAGGCCCAGAUUGUGAGCGACUGAGGCCUCCUGCCAACAGCCACGUGAGUGAGAUCAGAAGCGAGUCCUCUGGCCCCAGUGAAGCCUUCCAAUGACAGCAGCCCAACCAGCAGCCUGCAAGAGAUUCUCUGCCAGAACCUCCCAGACAAG